UACGUAGGGGGCGUGCGUUGUCCGGAAUUAUUGGGCGUAAAGAGCGUGUAGGCGGUUCGGUAAGUCUGCCGUGAAAACCUGGGGCUCAACCCCGGGCGUGCGGUGGAUACUGCCGGGCUAGAGGGUGGUAGAGGCGAGUGGAAUUCCCGGUGUAGCGGUGAAAUGCGCAGAUAUCAGGAGGAACACCGGUGGCGAAGGCGGGAUCCUGGGCCAGUACUGACGCUGAGGAGCGAAAGCGUGGGGAGCAAACAGG
rnacentral:rRNA from 1 species